rnacentral:lncRNA from 1 species
GCCCGUCCCCCCGGCUGCCCUGGCCUCAUUCCAAGCGAGGCCUGACCUUGCCCUCCCACCACCCUAGGCUUUCCUAUACAAAUUCUUUGGCUUCACCCUGCGGACCUCCAGGAAUUCGAAACUGCUGCAGACGAUGCUCUCGGCCCUCCUACACACCUCGCACGAGGAGCUGCGGGAGAGGGAGGGCAUCGCCGUGACACUCAGUAUCGUGUCCCAGAAGCACCUGACGACAGUUCUGGACCAACUGCAAGCCUACAGCACUAAACUCACCGAUAAGGACACAUUGUCCAUCCUCAAACUGAUGAAGGAACAUCAGCAAAGGGAGUGGGGGCUGGUCUGUAGCACCAUCUACUUAAGCUACAGCAG